CUAUCCCAUUCGUAAUAACUAAAUACAUUUUGUUAAAUCAAUUAACAACAUAAAUAUGUUUAUCCUGGCGAUACUAUUUGUUAUAGUAGUAUCAGCAACGUCCUUUCACUCCGAGGGAAUGUUUUCAUGUGCACUACUUGUAACAAAAAAUUAAAAGUCAACCCAAUCUUUCGUCUGAAAUUAUUGACCAGAUCAUAUUUCUAAACAAAAACAAAAAAAAAACAUUCAAACAUUCAAAGUGACCUGCUGUGAUCCCCACGCAACUGAUUAGAGACAAUUUUAACGGUGUUUGUAACGGAUCAACAAUUUCAUUGAUUAAUAAUUAACUCAUCACUAGCCGUAAAAACGUACCUUUGUUUGUUAAUCAAGACUUCAGUAAACGUGAUUGGUAUGAGAUAUACAUUUAAUUCAAUUUAAUUACUCUGUGUUUGAAACUUAACUAUAAUUGUUUAAUUUACAAUUGAAAGAUAUGUGAAAGUACGAGAGCGACAUUGAAACACCAAAGUCGAAAUUAAAGUGACAACGUCAUGGCUAAAAAAAAGAA
rnacentral:lncRNA from 1 species